rnacentral:ncRNA from 1 species
CAUCGCGAGGUGGAAUCUGAAGGAAGCUCGAGGCAAAAGUUCGGUCCGAGGAACACGAACCACAUUAGGCGGGAUUAGUGGAUGAGUUUGCAAUACAAAACAAAGUCCAAUCCCAUCUAUUUAUACCAAAGGUAUAAGUAAAGAAACUAGUAACGUAAAUGUGGCGGAUAUAUGAACUGAAAGUG